rnacentral:misc_RNA from 1 species
UUUCCGUAGGUGAACCUGCGGAGGGAUCAUUAUUGUAUAACCGAAGUGCGAGGGCUGUUGCUGACACGGAAGGUUGUCCACGCCCGAUUGCCCCCGCACACAUCCAUCUCGCCCCGAGGCGCACCACCGCGCGCGUCCCGCUUUGGCUUGGUCGGAGGGGGGCUUACGUUUUCUCAGAAGAUUGGUAUGCAGUGUAGAAUGUAGUUUUUGUUUUUGCCUUCUCGAAAUCAAUACAACUUUCAACAACGGAUCUCUUGGCUCUC